CUUUACUUUCGUGCUCGUUUUAAAGAGAUGUUCUAAGAACAGAAAAGAGCAAACAUUCCACACCCAGAUAUUUCUCUUUGACUCAUUGUGCAUGUAAGAAAUGGAUGAAGAAGAAUCUGGCAUAGAUCCAGGGAGUAGUUUGUAUACUCGUUGAGGAUCUCAGAGGAAGGACAAAGAGAAAAUAUUAAGCAGAGCUCUCAGUUGACCCUUGAUGGACGUGGAGAAUGGUAUCCUAAUCCUGCUCUGCUAACAGGAGAUGUGCAAGUCCCAUCAUGAAAUCAACCACUCAGGGGCAUCUCGUCCUGCAGCCAUAUGCAAUACCAUCAGUGUUUUGGCCAAAACUGUGAGUGACUGAGCCAAAGAGGAAGGUAUUCUUCCCCCACACUUUAAGUGUUUAUCACUUUCUUUCGUCUAUUGGGAAUGCUGGGAUAACUUGCCUGAUUGGUUAGAUUUACUUAUAGGCAUGCAUAUGUUUG
rnacentral:lncRNA from 1 species